CCUACGGGCGGCCGCAGUAGGGAAUAUUGCUCAAUGGGGGAAACCCUGAAGCAGCAACGCCGCGUGAGGGAAGACGGUUUUCGGAUUGUAAACCUCUGUCCUCUGUGAAGAUAAUGACGGUAGCAGAGGAGGAAGCUCCGGCUAACUACGUGCCGGCAGCAGCGGUAAUAUGUAGGGAGCAAGCGUUGUCCGGAUUUACUGGGUGUAAAGGGUGCGUAGGCGGCCCUGCAAGUCAGAAGUGAAAUCCAUGGGCUUAACCCGUGAACUGCUUUUGAAAAUGUAGGGCGUGAGUGAAGUAGAGGCAGGCGGAAGUCCCGGUGUAGCGGUGAAAUGCGUAGAGAUCGGGAGGAACACCAGUGGCGAAGGCGGCCUGCUGAGCUUUAACUGACGCUGAAGCACGAAAGCGUGGGUAGCAAACAGGAAUAGAUACCCCAGGAGUC
rnacentral:rRNA from 1 species